CAUUAUGAAUAAGAGAGAAAACCUGAGUUUAAAUGAAGCAUUUACAGGGAAAAUGACAGGAACCAAAGAUUCAUGUGAUACAACAGGACACAAAGUCUGUCUUUAAAACAUGUGUUUGACUUUAAGAGAAGUGGUGUCCAGAAGAAUGGACGAGGUUUGGAAGCAAGUUUUACUUUAAAUACACUGAGAGGAAAACUUGGUCUGACAGCAGGAGAGCCUGUCAGGAUAAAGGAGCUGAUCUGGUGAUGAUAAACAGCAAAGAGGAACAGGAAUUUGUCAGUAAAUUUGGAGGAGUCCUGGAUUGGUCUGGGAUCCAAACAGACAUCAGGAAGAUCUAAAUGGGAAUGGGUGGACGGAUCAGCGCUGACAGAAAGGUGAGACAUUAGUUUGUUUCUAUUCCAGAGUUAUUAUUUAGAAGUGAAACAUGGAUGUUUUGGAAGAUAGAUCAGCAAUACAUGAGCUGAGCUAUUUUCCAACAGCCCCACAAACUGAAUGUAAAGAAAAGCAGAAAUCCUCCUUUGAAUGAACAGCUGUGCUUGAACUCUCUUCAUCUGCAGUCUGUGAUGACGUUCAGUUACAACAAGUCAGUUUGAAGGAAUCAGGAUUGAAACAUGUUCAAAGCAGCGACCGACACAUUUCACUUUGUUCAAUUUGUCUUCAUGUUUUUUGUGCUGUAAUGUUUCUUUUCUCACAGAACAAAAAGUGUUUCAGAGAAUUGCUGUCUCUUCUUCUUUGGUGUUUGUAAAACUUCAGAACAUAUGAAGGAAGAAGCUUCAGUAAAUAUGACCUGAUAGACACACAUUUCAAAGUGAUGUCUGUAAACAGCUGACAAAACAGUUUCAAACAGCAGAAAGUCAGCUCUGACUUCUUUUUAUUCUCCAUUUUUACAGCAGGAAGAUUUCAUAUUCAUCAAAGCUUGAAAGCUGUUUUAGUGUGCAUGAUGAUUCUCAGAGAAAAGUCUAAAGGAGGGAAAGUGGGCGAGAAACCUGGGAAAGAAAUACAGCAAAUAUUGGAAAUAUUCCAAAAGAGACGCAUAUUUAUAUGAAUGUGACAAUAGUUAUGAGUUUAGUCCAGUUUCAUAUCAGAUUUGAUCUCUCUGACAGGUUCUGGGCAGAAGGACAUGAGAAUCCCAGUUAUGGUUACUAUGGAGUCUGCUGUGACAGUGAUGGGAGAUGGACACGGUCAUAUUAUUCUGAAUCAAAGACCUUCAUCUGUGAGAGAUGAGUUUGGUGCUUUGAUGUAAAUGUUUGAAUAAUCCAACCAAAGACACCUCACUAUGAAAUGUCCUGCAUGAGCCUCAGACUCAGCUUACAGUCUUUACUUGUUCAUUCUGCAUCAUAUAUUGAUUACAUAUAUUGUCCCUCUGUGCUCUGUGCUGUACAGUAAGGUUGGAAGUCAUCCACACAAAACCUUGAAGUACUUCAUUACUCUGUAGUUCCAGCAAAUUGUUCUAAUAAAAGUCAAAGUGCAGCUUGUCUUU